rnacentral:rRNA from 1 species
AGAGUUUGAUCAUGGCUCAGGGUUAACGCUAGCGGUGUGCCUAACACAUGCAAGUCGAGCGGGAUUGAGAGAAAGCUUGCUUUUGAUCAUGAUAGCGGCAAACGGGUGAGUAAUAUGUUGGUAUCUGCCCUUAAGUCGGGAAUAGCCCAUCGAAAGAUGGAUUAAUGCCGGAUAGUCUCUUCGGAGUAAAGAUUUAUCGCUUAAGGAGGAGCCUUCAUUCUAUCAGUUAGUUGGUGAGGUAAUGGCUUACCAAGACUAUGACAGAUAGCUGGUCUGAGAGGAUGAUCAGCCACAAUGGAACUGAGACACGGUCCAUACUCUUACGGGAGGCAGCAGUGAGGAAUCUUCCACAAUGGGCGAAAGCCUGAUGGAGCGACACCGCGUGAAGGAUGAAGGUCUAACGACUGUAAACUUCUUUUCUGAGGGAGCAUAAUGAGAGUACCUCAUGAAUAAGCACCGGCAAAACUCGUGCCAGCAGCCGCGGUAAUACGAGUGGUGCAAGCGUUACCCGGAAUUACUGGGUGUAAAGCGUUCGCAGGCGGAUGAAUAAGUCAGAUAUGAAAGACCGGAGCUCAACUCCGAGUAUGUAUUUGAAACUAUUUAUCUAGAAUUAGGGAGAGGUAAGCGGAAUUCUAAGUGUAGGGGUGCAAUCCGUAGGUACUUAGAAGAACACCAAAAGCGAAGGCAGCUUACUGGAACUAUAUUGACGCUAAGGGACGAAAGCGUGGGGGGCGAAAAGGAUUAGAUACCCUUGUAGUCCACGCCCUAAAUGAUGAUAAUUAAGUGUUGCAUUUUUUGCAGUGCUGUAGCUAACGCGUUAAAUUAUCCACCUGAGGACUACGGUCGCAAGAUUAAAACUCAAAGGAAUAGACGGGGACCCACACAAGCAGUGGAUCAUGUGGUUUAAUUCGACAAUAAACGGGGAAUCUUACCCAGACUUGACAUCCUGAGAAUCUUUUGGAAACAAGAGAGUGCUCGCAAGAGAGCUCAGUGACAGGUGCUGCAUGGUUGUCGUCAGCUCGUGCCUUGAGGUGUUCGGUUAAGUCCGUUAACGAGCGAAACCUAUGUCGUUAGUUACUAUGUCUAACGAGACUGCCCAUGUUAAUUGGGAGGAAGGUGUAGAUGGUGUCAAAUCAGCAUGGCUUUUACGUCUGGGGCCACACACAUGAUACAAUGGUACGUACAAUGAGAAGCAAUAUGGUAACAUGGAGCUAAUCUUAAAAGCGUAUCUCAGUCCGGAUUGAGGUCUGAAACUCGACCUCAUGAAGUUGGAAUUGCUAGUAAUCGUGAAUCAGAUAUGUCACGGUGAAUAUGUUUCUGGAUCUUGUACUCACCGCCCGUCACGGCAUGGAAGG